CAUGUUCAGUACAUGUGCAGUUGUUCUUUUUCCAAAUAUUGUUGAACUGCAAAUAGUUGAUUCUACAGAUAAUGGGAGGGUGUCCAUCUUUAGGAAGGCUAUGAGCAGGCAGCCUCUUAGGAAUUCAGCCAAGAGGAAAAGCACUCUGAUUAUGAAUGGAACAGUAGGAAACUGAUUCCUGCAAAUGAUAGCAGCAAGACAAGAACCACGGAUCAGAGAAAUGACAGGAAGGAGGAAUGCUCCCUGCCAGUAGCCUCAUGCCAGGGAACAACUACCACAAUGUGGAGACCCAGGCACGGAGGGAAAGUCAUGGCCCUGGUGACACAACUAGAAAGGAUGCAGCAGGCUGGCAGCCUGUUCUGGGACUAAACCCACAGCUUGAAUUCUGAGCUGCUGCAUUUUGCCACCUUGCAGUGUGACAUGCUUGUCACAAGCUUGGAGUGCAGAGCCAUUGUUCUCCAAUGUGGAUGGUGACUGACGCUGAGCAGAGCUCCAUGGAGUACAGAAAUGAAGGAAUGGGGG
ensembl:lncRNA